rnacentral:rRNA from 1 species
GACGAACCGUGCGAACGUUGUUCGGAUUCACUGGGCAUAAAGGGCGCGUAGGCGGACGGUCAAGUCGGGGGUGAAAUCUUUCAGCUUAACUGGAAAAGUGCCUCCGAUACUGAUCGUCUCGAGGGAGGUAGGGGCAUGUGGAACUUCCGGUGGAGCGGUGAAAUGCGUAGAGAUCGGGAGGAACACCAGUGGCGAAGGCGGCUACCUGGACCAGCACUGACACUGAGGCACGAAAGCGUGGGGAGCAAACAGG